CCCCCGUGGCCCCGCCCCCGCCCCGGCCGCGGGCCCGGAGCCGCUGCAGACCCGGUGCCCCGCGCACCUGGCGGGGAGAAAGUUCGGGGUCCGCGAACACGCCGUGACCUUGAGACGGCGGCUCCCUGUCCCCGCGCCCGCCCCGCGGGGCGGCCAGGAGGGGGGCGCUCGGGCGCAAGGGUCGGGGUCGGGGACCCGCCCUUGCCGUCCCACCGGUCUGCGGCGCCUCGGAGCCGGAGCCCGACCCGGACCGAGGCCCCAGGCCCCGUUUUGCGGGCCGGGCCGGGAAUUCGGGGGCGUCUGGCCGCUGUGGGCUCGGCGACUUCCAGACGCGCUCGAGCUGCGCCCGCCCGCCCGCUCGCUCCUGCAGAAGGCCCGGAAGUCCGCCCGGAGCCCUGCCCGCCGGCCUGUUUCCCGGGUUCUCGGACGGAGCCGGCCCGGCCCUGGCAGUUGUUUUGCCCUCGCUGAAGACCGGUGGCGUCGCCGAGGCUGAGCGCCCGCCCUUCCCGGUCCCCCGGCCCCACCACACCUGGCCAGCGCCACCCUGACUCCGGGCUGCGGCGUCGCCCUCGUCUGCGGACGGAGCCGCGCGCGCGCGGCCUCCUGACUUUCCGGCACGGCUUCGUGGGGAAGCCAGACGGCGCUCCGAAGGACAGCCGCGCAGGCCGCGCCUCCGGUGGCGGGGAACGACGGGAGUAAACCCUGCGUUCGGCCUGAUGCCCCCACUCUUCCUCCUCCGACCGAACUUUGGUGCCGUGGACCCCGCGACAUCCGGCUCCUGCACCACGGUCACGAGAAGCAGCACGUUUUAAUUCUAAAGCCUCGGGCUUUCCUUCCUAAGCGAGUUGUUCCAAAACAUCGCAUUUUCCGGAUUCCGAGUGACAAGGGACAGUAAGGCAGAGAAGGUGCGGAUCGUCCCUGCAACGCUAACUACAAGGCCUGGGAGGGCUGCGCUCCAGCUCGCAGACAGCGGAGAGCUCACGUUCCUCCCUCGCUCCCCACCUCCGUCCCUGUUAGCUUCUCCGAUUAGGACCGCAGCGCAGGUCUGGGCCCACACAGGUGAGGACGUGUGCGAAGCUGAUUGCUGGUUGGAACCGAGUCCCUGGCUCUGUUGAGCGAAUGAGCUUGCCCCGCCCACACACGUGAACUUGUCCGUCCUCCUGGAGGAAGAAAGAUUCCCGAAGCAAAGUACCGAGUAGCAGAACGAGGGACGGGGUGUUGGCCUCCCCCUGUUUCCCCGUGGAAGAAGGGAUGCAUGCCUGCUGCGAAUCUGGGGGUUCGCGUUCCGCAGAGAAGAGCAGAAGUGUAGAAGUGCUUUGAAGUGAUCGCUCGCUGGGUGCACACUUUGAUUGGUCUGAGGGCGACAGUUCGGCCUCUUCCCUGGCUCUUCAAAAUCUUUAUUUCAGGGCCUGCUUACUUCCAAAGUGCGGCUGCUCAUCAGAGCCACCUAAGGAGCUCCCAGGGCAGCCGAGGCCCCAGCCCCCGAUCUUCUCUCCAGGACAGAAACUCAUUCUGUCUGUUCUGGUGGGGCAUGCGUGAUCACUAGUAAAGCAGUUGCUAAUGAAAACUGGGCUUUCCCCUGUGGCCCCCAUCUGCACAGACAAAUGUCCUAUCAGAUCAACUCACGAUGUGCACUGAAGAUGUACAUGUUCAGCACCACCCCUUUGUGCUCCUGCAGGCUGAAACCCCUCCAGUAACAGUCAGGGGACAUUAAGGACUCUACAAGACAAAAUAAGUAUUUUGACUGUUACUCUUCUCAGACUUCCUUCAAAAUUGACCACACUACCAUUAACAAAAAGUGCUAAUUAUGUCAACCCAAGCUACAACGCAAGAGUUCACUCAGAAGAUAUGGGCAAUGAUUGAAUUUUCAAAAUAUUACAGUAAAAGACACAUUGCUAUUAAUCUUCCUCAGAAUACUUCUCCUCCCUUUGAACACACUUUCUGAAAGUCUGAAUGCACUUUCUGAAGCCUCUCUGGAAGUCCUCUUUCCAGAGUGUCUUGAGUUGCACUGUCAUUGCUGUCUCAAAGUCCUGGAUCAAUUCAAGACUUUGCCUUUUGUGGUCAUGUUGAAUUUGGGAAAGAGUCAGAAGUCAUAUGGAGGCAGAUAAGGC
ensembl:lncRNA